rnacentral:snRNA from 1 species
AUCGCUUCUCAGCCUUUUGGCUAAGAUCAAGUGUAGUAUUCAUUCAUUCAUUCAUUCACCCUUGGGGACAGGGUCUCUGUCACCCAGACUGGAGUGCAGUGGCACAAUCUCAGCUCACUGCAACCUCCAAUCCUCA